CAGCGGUGGUGUUAUUCCAGAUUCUCAGUUUAUAUUUGAUAAAAGAUGCAUCGUGGGUAACAGUGGUCAUAUUAGCAUACUGUCUUGGUGGGACAAUAAAUCACUCAUUAACUCUUGCUAUUCAUGAAAUAUCACACAAUUUAGCAUUUGGUCAUAGCUAUCCUUUGGCCAACCGAAUUUUAGGAUAUAUUGCCAAUUUGCCACUAGGAGUGCCAAUGUCUGUUUCCUUCAAGAAAUAUCAUCUUGAGCAUCAUCGUUACCAAGGUGACGUGGAAAGAGAUGUAGAUAUUCCAACAGAAAUAGAAGGAAGAUUUUUCACACGUACAUGGUCAAAAUUUGUAUAUUGUUUACUAAUGCCAUACUUCUACACUAUUCGACCACUGUUUGUACGACCAAAACCUCUCACAGGUUUAGAACUUAUAAACAUAGUAAUCCAAGUAGCAUUUGACAUUUGUAUAUAUAACUUUUGGGGUAUCAAACCUGUAUUUUACAUGAUAGCAGGAACCCUUAUGGGAACUGGAUUACACCCAUUGUCUGGACAUUUUAUAGCAGAGCACUACAUGUUCAUCAAAGGCUGUGAGACUUAUUCAUAUUAUGGACCUUUGAACUACCUAACCUUCAAUGUAGGCUAUCACAACGAACACCAUGACUUUCCAUAUAUACCAGGAUCAAGACUUUAUAAGGUUGGUACAUAAUCAGUUACUAAUUAUUUUUUGCUCUCAAAAAUUUGAGUAAGUGAAUACAUACAUGGUCAAGAACUUUCAUACUAGAAAUUUUCUACACACAUGGAGCAGUUUUUUUCUUUUGUCUAUAAAAUAGCAGAAUUUGCUUUUAUUUUUUCAAGUUUGAUUGUUGUUAUUUUUCAGGAAAUGUUGACUUCUUUUUACUAUCAGUUUUGACUAUUGACAACAACCAUAUCAUAGAAAAAGCUGAAUUUUGCACAAGAAGGGCAAACAAUACCACUGUCCAGAGUGUAAUUCAAACUCAUAGAUCAAAAUUAAACUGACAACAACAUGGCUACAAGAGAAAAAAACAAACAAUAGUAUGCAAAACACAACAUAAAAAAAUAAAGACUAAGCAACAGUCUGUUUAUUGUUUUACAUAAUAGGUUAAAAUCCGAAGGCAAUAUUUUCGUACAGUAAUAUCAGUUUAAUAUUGUUUUUGAUAUUGUAGAAAAUCUAUUUUAGUAUUUAUUUUACACCAGUUAUUUGCACAGAAAACAAUUCCAAAUCUUUACUCAUACAUAUGCUUGCCUUUUAUUGCUUGGAUAUGAAAAUUACAAAACAAAAAGUAAUUUGACUGGUGUAAGCCUAAAUGGCAUGUACCCAAAACAGUGAGAAUGUGGAAUGAAAACAGUUAUAUACAUGUGUAGUGUAAACCAGUCAAGGUUAUGAAAGCCUUAAAGGGAUUAUGUUUUACUUUCAAACAUUUUAUAAUCACUAAUUGUAAAGUGUCAGGAGAAAAAAAACCAGAUCAAUCACUAAAUACAAUGCAUAUAUAAUAAUAAAUAUUUAUUUUAUUAUAAUACUAGCAUGUACAUUUAUGAAUUUCUAUCUUUGAUACAAUCAAAAUUAUAUCACUGCUAAUAGGCAGUUCAUCAAACACCCUAGAGAGUACGUAUAAUAGAUUGUCAGAUUGAUAUGCUAGUCAUUAUAAAGUAAUAUUGUAUGUAUCAAUUUAAGGUCAUUGAAAAAUGGAUGAAGUUACUUUAAGAAAGACUGGUAUAACUGAUUUUUUUUAAUUUCUGGACUUGUUCUUGAAUUUCUGUUUUAUGGACAUGUGUUGGAGUUUGAAUAUUUCUGGUGUAUAUAGAUUUAAGAAGAUGUGGUAUGAUUACCUAUAAGACAACCCUCCAAGUCACAGUUUGUAAAAAGCAAACCAUUUUAUGUCAAAGUACGACCUUCAAUAGUUUUUACCAGACAAAUCCUAAAAAGAUUCUUCCUUUCAGAAAUUAAAGGAAAAAAAGAUAUAUUUUGAAACUGUUAUUCACAUUAUUCAAUAAUGAAAUAUAAAGCAAUUACAUUUUGAAGGAUUUUAAUCUUCAUUUAUAACAAAAAGUGUUUGGAUAGAUUUUAAAGUGACAAGAUUAUAAUAUUUUGAAGGAUUUAAUGGUCAAUAUUUAAAUCAAUAUUUUUGACUUUAGAUAAAGUAUGAUUGGAUUGUAAUCCUUCUGAAUAUGAACAAAUAUUUGAAUUUUUGAAUUAUGUUUUGGUUCUUUAUUUGUUUAUACUUGUAAAAUUAAAUCUAUACUGUAUACAUGUACAAGUAACACUCUGGUUGUCUAAUCAAACAAGUUUAUAAAGAUUACCCCUUUGGCCAGAGAAAACUCACGUUAGUAGAGAGAUGAACUAAAAUAAAAUCUAUAGGUGCUAUCAAAGCUGUACAAGAAGAAGGUGACCUGAAAGCAUAGUUUUUUGCUUAAUAUUGUUGACCUUUACUGUUGGGUGACUGUAACUAUGCUAGGGUCGUUCUACAUUCUGUUCAUUUAAAAGUUGAAUGAACCAGGAAGUAUUUACUUUGAUAAUUUUUAAGUAAAUUUUUACUAUGCAAAUUACCUUUUCAGUAGAGUUUAAACAAAAAAAACUAAAAAAGUACAUGCUCAUAUAUCAAAGUCAAUAAUAUCUUAUUUACAUAGCAAAUAUCUUAAUUUCAGGUGAAAGAAAUUGCCCCAGAGUAUUAUGAUAAUUUACCCCAGCAUUCAUCUUGGUGUAGAGUGAUCUUCAACUUUAUAACUGAUCCUUCCAUAGGACCAUUUUCUCGAAUCCGUAGAAGAAUGAAAACUGACUAUGAGGAGAAACAUAUAAAAGAUGUCCAAACACCAAAUGGAAAGACACAUGCCGAUUAGAAGAAGUUAUAUUCAUCAUCUUGUAAUCAUGAAUUUUCACCAUUGCUUUUUGUCAUUAUUGUAUAGAAGGUAAUUUGAAGAAAUAAUAGAUUACAAUGUCAAUAACAAAUAAAAUGGCAGUACAUAUAUUUUAAGUCUCCAGGAACUAUAAUCCAGUAAGAAAGGCAUGACGGGGGAAACAUUUUUAUUUGAGUAUUUCUGACAAGAAUUGGCAGGAAAAUGUAUUUAACAUGUAUUGAACUUGUACAGGUUAUUUAACCUUUAAUAUUUUAAGAAGGACCUUUAUUUUUUACAAUGUUAUAUAGAUUCUAAUGUAAGAUUGUUUUAUCAGUUAGUGACUAUGCAAAGGAAACAUAUUAAGUUUUCAUUGAUUCACAAUAACAUGCAUAAUGUGAAUUUAUAUGCCAUGCCUGAAUUAGAAACUUGGUACUGUGGUUUCAUUAUUAUUCUCGGAAUAUCAUAUUUCAUUGAUUUUUGGGGAAAAGAUGAAGAAUUUUAUUUUUUUUAGACAUUUUCUUUAUUGGUGUAUGCAGACUUGGAAAAACCACAAAAUUCACAGAAAUACAUGUACAUGUACCAGUUUUUAUAUCCAUGAAAACUGGUAUCCAUAAAAAAUAAAUGAAUCCAUAGUAAUUUUGUCUAAAGUAUUAUGGCUUUAAAGAUCCAUUAGAAAUAUGUAUUUGUAAAAAAAAGUUUUGAGGGGGAGUGAGUCAGGAAAAGAGAGAGAGGGAGUUAAAAAAUGGAAUAACCCGGAGUAGUAGGGAAGUGGAAGUAGAAGGGAUGGAAGUAGGAAUGAAGCACUCCAUUUACAGACCAAUUAUUUUUUACAUUUGAUGUAUAUAACAUUGUCUAUUUUUUUUAAUUAAUUUUUAAAAAAAUGUUUUAAGAGAUUUGUAUAAAUACAAAGUGCCCUUAUUAUGUUUUUGUUUGUCCUUGCACACCAGCUAAUAAUUAGUAUUUGCUUGUCAACAUAUAUGCUGCUUUAUGGUUUCAUAAUUUUAUUUUUGUAUUUAGCUAUCCUAAACUAGAUGGUUUUUUUUCUGUAAAGAAGAAAUAUCUUUUAGCUGUCCUGAAUAUUGGAUUCCAAUGCUAGUCUGUGAUUUCACAGUAUUAAUUUUUCACUUGUCCAUACGCCACAUAACCGCAACAAGUUUUCAGGCAUCCGAAUUGUUAAAAGCACAAUUGUGAUAUUCUAUCCAUCUUUAAGUUGAGCUCUUUCAUGAAUAAAUGAGAUGCAAAUGAAAAAAAAGUGAGGGGAGAUUAUAUAUAUAUUUUUAAUGUGACCUUAUUCUUGUUAUUAAAUUAUUUUAAUUAGCUUCAGCAUUUAAACUAGAUCUGAGAGCAUCUAUCCAUCUGUUUUCCAUUGUGUUUCAUUAAAAAAAAAUCAGGAUUGAUCUCUGCAGAAUUUAAACCAUGUGUUUUAGUGCAUAAUAUUUUUAGACGGAGGGUAAGGUAAAUACACUUUUUUGGAUGAACCAUAUGAUAUUGCAGGGAUAAAAGUAUUUUUUUCAAUUUUGAUUGAUUUGUUCCAGACAAUAAUUUUUGUUAGUAAAAAAGAUUACUUAUGCCAGGUCAAUGUCUUUGUUGGUUUAUUGCCAGUAAAAGCUAAUAACCAAUACAUUCUGUCUGCAUUUUGUUAUUUAAAUUUGUAAGUUUCAGUUCAAUAACAGUAAAUACUUAUUUAAAUCUUUUUCUAAUGCAGAACGAAAUGAUUGUACAUGUGCAAUAUGUAUUUAGAUGGCCCAAAUUUAAAUCCACUUGGAUGCUAUAAUAUCUGCCUUUGUUCCUUUAUGGUGAAAAUAUCAAAACCACUCGAUUCUUUUUGUGUAAACAUUUACUUUGGAUGGAAACAUCAUUAUGAUAUGAUAAACAUACAAGUAGUAUCAUAGAAUCUGUGUUGUUUGUAAGCUAGCAGUAUAGAGUCCUUCCCCCUAUUUAUUAGUUUGUUUUUUUUAAAGAUUGACAGUCAUCUUAUAUUUGAUCAAAUCUAUUUAUUAUUACCCUAACAUUUACUAUAAACAUUACAAGUAAAUUGCACUGCUAGUGCUAGUCGAACAAAUUGUGCCCUGACAGUGAUGUGGAAAUAUCAUGCUCAGUUUGUACCCCAAUAUCAGUAGGGACAAGUCAAAACUUUCCAGGCCAGUAGAUUUUUGUUUAAGGGCUACCUGGUAGCCCCUUUUACAAGUGUAGAAGUUUGAUAUUUUCACAUCCCUGAAUGAUUAAGUUAUCUUGGCAGGUCUGUGUCUGAAAAGUUUUAUGUUAAUUUGUCAUUAUUUAUAGAUGUCAUUAUUUUAUUAUUUCAUAUGGUCCGUUUUUGACACAAUUUAUUGUUUAUUCUUGUACUUGUAGUUAAGUAUUAUACAAUCAAUUUACUGCUUCAAAAUCCAAUGUAUUCUUAUUUAUAUUGUCAGUAGCAAACACUUUUUUAGUGUGAUCGGUGAAAAAUGUCCCUUUAAAUGAACAGUUAAUCAUGAAGUUAUCUUAGUUUUAAUUUAUGAUGCAAAUGAAAUCACUGUUACUCCUUUUUAUUCUGAUAGGGAGACCAAUAAAAGACAUUUUCAAAUUGCCACUAUUGUGAAAACAUAUUUACAUAUGAUAUAUAAAUAUAACAUGUUCAGUUAACAAAAGCAUUGGAUUAAAAAUAGUUAAGACAAUUAUUUCAUACUAGUGCACUCACUUUAGUAGUGAAUUCCACUGGUUCUUUGAUAUAUUUUGUACAGAUUGAUAAAAUUUCGACCAUGCACUUUCUUUUUUUUUAGGAUGAUGUUAUUUUACUUUUGUCAUACUGAAAUAAUGGCCAGACUUUUUAAUUAGCCUUGUGUUUUUUUUUACAAUGAAAUGACUUUAUUUUUGC
rnacentral:lncRNA from 1 species